rnacentral:rRNA from 1 species
UGGGGAAUAUUGGACAAUGGGCGAAAGCCUGAUCCAGCAAUGCCGCGUGUGUGAUGAAGGGUUUCGGCUCGUAAAACACUGUUGUAAGAGAAGAAUGACAUUGAGAGUAACUGUUCAAUGUGUGACGGUAUCUUACCAGAAAGGAACGGCUAAAUACGUGCCAG